rnacentral:rRNA from 1 species
UACGUAGGGGGCAAGCGUUGUCCGGAUUUAUUGGGCGUAAAGAGCGUGUAGGCGGCUAGGUAGGUCCGUUGUGAAAACUCGAGGCUCAACCUCGAGACGCCGGUGGAAACCAUCUAGCUAGAGUCCGGAAGAGGAGAGUGGAAUUCCUGGUGUAGCGGUGGAAUGCGCAGAUAUCAGGAGGAACACCAAUAGCGAAGGCAGCUCGCUGGGACGUUACUGACACUGAGGCGCGAAAGCGUGGGGAGCGAACAGG